rnacentral:rRNA from 1 species
UACGGAGGGUGCGAGCGUUGUCCGGAAUUAUUGGGCGUAAAGAGCUCGUAGGCGGCUUGUCACGUCGGAUGUGAAAGCCCGGGGCUUAACUCCGGGUCUGCAUUCGAUACGGGCUAGCUAGAGUGUGGUAGGGGAGAUCGGAAUUCCUGGUGUAGCGGUGAAAUGCGCAGAUAUCAGGAGGAACACCGGUGGCGAAGGCGGAUCUCUGGGCCAUUACUGACGCUGAGGAGCGAAAGCGUGGGGAGCGAACAGG